CGUGCGCUGGCACACACGCGGUGUGCACCCUAUGCCAGCCGUCCUUCGGAGCCCUUUACAAAUAUUAACUCACUUAAGUUCAGCACUCCAUGAGAGCGGAAGCGAUCUUAUCCCCAUUUCGCGGGUGAGGGGAUGGAGGCCAGAGAGGUGGAGUUACUUGCCGGGUCCCGCAGCUAGCAAGCGGCAGAGCCCUGGAAUCUCAGGCUAACGGGUGGCCCAGAGACCAUCUCCAGCAGCCGUCGGGCUCCCAGGGUGUGUUCCCGGCACAGCUGAGGACGCCACGAGGGCGCACGCUAUUCCCUCACCUGCAGUCGAGAGGACGAUCCACGUUUUGUAAAUGUAAAAUCUGCUGCGUCGUCAAGAUGGAGGAGUGAGUUAGUGGCCAAGGUGGCCUCGGUUCCUGAAACCCCGGGGCAGCCCACAGGCCCUCGCCGUUCAUGAGGCUUUAAAUCCACAAUAUACACCAUCUUGGUGUUCUGGGAACGUCCCGGCCCACUGUAGGGAAAGUGUGGGCUCCGGCAGAGGUGGGCUGGAGCCCCAGUUCGGCCGUUCGGGGGCUGUGUGACCUGGCACCUCCUCCUGGCCAUCUGUCCGGUGGAUGGUGGCCGUCCCAGCCUGGCAGGGUGUCUGUGGCGGAGCCCACGGCCUUUGCCCCGGCGCAGAGCGUGCUGGGAGCCGGCCGUCCACACGCAGCUUGCCUGCUCUCCUCCACGUCCCUGGGGCCACCUCGGUGCGGAGACCAGCUCUGGGCCCGGAAAGGCUUUGAAAGAAGAAGAAGAAAUAGUUCCCAAAUGCUCAAAAUGCCUCUGUCCUGCAGCCUCCCCGCCCAUUUCCAGAUCGUGAAAUAGCCACCCUAGCCAGGGGCUCCUCCGGCACCUGCCGCAUCCACGCGGGCGGGGAGUUAGCCCCCGGGAAGCCGUGUCCUGGGGGCGCCACCGCCUCGGCUCGGGCCUGCAAUCAGCUGGAGCCGGAGUGGCCGCCUGCCGGGAGACAUUCUGGCCCAGACAUCUGAAGCUCGUUAGCGGCCUGCUCCUCGGGGGGCUGACCCUGCUCCGUGAGAAUUAUCCGAGACAGAGCCACAGAGGAUGGAGCAAACGAAGACCAGCUAUUCCCUGAGGAAUAAGCCUUGACAGCAGAUCCUGGAAGACAGCCUUAAACCGGAGACUGGGAAGGCCUGGCGUCUCUUCCGGAACAGCACAGCUUCCUCCCAAACGGAACUGUUUAAAUGCAAGAUAUAGUAGGAAAUAUUCCCAGCUAGGAGUUCAGAGCCUGCAAUCAACCCUGCCUGAGGUCCCAGGAUGGUGAUCAUCUGCAAGUUGGAACGUGGGCCCUCACCAAGAACCAAUCUUAUCAUCUUGACCUUGGACUUCCCAGCAUCCAGAUCUGUGUUUUGUUAUAGCAGCCUGAGCAGACAAAGCCACAUAUGAACAAGGGUAAUAUUCCCUCCCCUGAUGAUUGUUGAUAAGCCCUCAGUGCCAUUCUGGGCACAGGAGGGCUCUGAACUGUUAAGGGCAUAGCUAGAGGUGGUACAGUCUCCUCUUAGCUGUUGGGCCCUUGCUAAACAGCACCUUCAUGUCAGAAUAAAAUGCAACUAUAGAUAACUAUU